GAUGAAGAACGUAGCGAAAUGCGAUACGUAAUGUGAAUUGCAGAAUUCAGUGAAUCAUCGAGUCUUUGAACGCACAUUGCGCCCCCUGGUAUUCCGGGGGGCAUGCCUGUCCGAGCGUCAUUGCUGCCCUCAAGCACGGCUUGUGUGUUGGGCCUCCGUCCUCCUCCCGGGGGACGGGCCCGAAAGGCAGCGGCGGCACCGCGUCCGGUCCUCGAGCGUAUGGGGCUUCGUCACCCGCUCUUGUAGGCCCGGCCGGCGCUUGCCGACACAUCAAUCUUUUUUCCAGGUUGACCUCGGAUCAGGUAGGGAUACCCGCUGAACUUAAGCAUAUCAAUAAGAGGAGGA
rnacentral:misc_RNA from 1 species